ensembl:lncRNA
GCUGCACUCAAUUCUGCGUUGCGCAGCACCAUGAACUGCGUAGAGCGAGUCUUUUCAUCCUAACAAUUAUCACUACAAAUGACGCCGACAUUUGUAUUGAAAGUAAAAAGAUAAUAGGUAAUUAAACUGUAAUUGUUUUUUUCUUCCAUAACGAGCAGCCUUGAAGAACACUAUUGAAUCAGACCGCCGAGAUGUCUUCAUGAAUGUCCUUAUUAUUGUGAGAUUUUUCCAGUGUACUGAUGAAAACAUAGUUACCGGAUUGUAGCUGAAUGCUGAAGAAAACAUGGACCUGUCAUCGCUUCUCUGUCGCCUGCGCGUCUCAUCCUCGUCAGCCCGCCCCUUCCAUCUCCCUGACGACAGUCAGCCCUUUCCACCAAUCACAGAGGUGCUCCGCCAGCUGCAGGACAAUCUGAGUGGAGUCGCUCAACGAGACGACUGUGACUCGGAGAAAGCAUCUGCCAUUGGCCAGGCGGAACAGUUAUUCAAGAUCGCUGACCCCCAUUGGCUGACGUCCCCUGAUGACAGCGAUCAGACCAAUGACGCGCCUGCGUGUGCCCGGUGGGCGGUGCUGGCGGAGGCCUACGUGGGCGUAGUCCGGUCUCUCAUCCGCUGUGCCGCUCUGCCCGCGUGCGAGGCCGACAGCGGCCUGCCCGACAGCCUCUACCGGGACGUCCCAGCCGGGGCCGUGCUGGUCUGCUCGGCCCUCUGCAGCCUGCUGGGGUGCCUGGGGCUGGCCGGGGGAGAGGCGGGGGGGCAGGA